rnacentral:rRNA from 1 species
GACGAACGCUGGCGGCGUGCUUAACACAUGCAAGUCGAACGGUAAGGCCCUUCGGGGUACACGAGUGGCGAACGGGUGAGUAACACGUGGGUGAUCUGCCCUGCACUUCGGGAUAAGCCUGGGAAACUGGGUCUAAUACCGGAUAGGACUCCUGGCUUCAUGGUUGGGGGUGGAAAGCUUUUGCGGUGUGGGAUGGGCCCGCGGCCUAUCAGCUUGUUGGUGGGGUAAUGGCCUACCAAGGCGACGACGGGUAGCCGGCCUGAGAGGGUGACCGGUAACACUGGGACUGGGAUACGGCCCAGACGCCGACGGGAGGCAGCAGUGGGGAAUAUUGCACAAUGGGCGCAAGCCUGAUGCAGCGACGCCGCGUGAGGGAUGACGGCCUUCGGGUUGUAAACCUCUUUCAGCUAUGACGAAGCGCAAGUGACGGUAGUAGCAGAAGAAGGACCGGCCAACUACGUGCCAGCCGCCGCCGUAA